AUUGAACGCUGGCGGCAGGCCUAACACAUACAAGUCGAACGGUAACAGGAAGAAGCUUGCUUCUUUGCUGACGAGUGGCGGACGGGUGAGUAAUGUCUGGGAAACUGCCUGAUGGAGGGGGAUAACUACUGGAAACGGUAGCUAAUACCGCAUAACGUCGCAAGACCAAAGAGGGGGACCUUCGGGCCUCUUGCCAUCGGAUGUGCCCAGAUGGGAUUAGCUAGUAGGUGGGGUAACGGCUCACCUAGGCGACGAUCCCUAGCUGGUCUGAGAGGAUGACCAGCCACACUGGAACUGAGACACGGUCCAGACUCCUACGGGAGGCAGCAGUGGGGAAUAUUGCACAAUGGGCGCAAGCCUGAUGCAGCCAUGCCGCGUGUAUGAAGAAGGCCUUCGGGUUGUAAAGUACUUUCAGCGGGGAGGAAGGGAGUAAAGUUAAUACCUUUACUCAUUGACGUUACCCGCAGAAGAAGCACCGGCUAACUCCGUG
rnacentral:rRNA from 1 species